rnacentral:lncRNA from 1 species
CUAAGAUGGAAGUCUGCGUGAAGUAAAACCAGAAAAGAGAUGAGCAGUUCUGCAUGAAAUUCUGCAGAGAUGACCUUUGAACUACAGAAUGUCAGAACAGAAUAAAACUCGGUAACUUGGAAUGGAAACAGAAACAUCAGAGACUCGGAUACCCUAUGCAUACGAAGAACUCAGUGCCCGGUGUGAAGCUCCAACAGGAGUAAGUACGGCGUGCAACAAUGGCAGAGAGACGGCAUGGCUGACCCCACCGCUCGGCGAGUCCUUCUGCUAGAAUACGACUUCCCUGAUGGUGAAACUUGUCCUUAUUUAUUCUGUGACCCCUGGGCCAGCACAGGGCCUGCAACACAGUGGCCAAUCAAGACCAGUGAAUUGUGUGCUCAGGGGAGGGAAGGACAAAGAAGGGCUCCUCAAGGAGAAGACUGAGCUGGGUGUUGAAGUGAGGGGGUUCUAAGGUUAACAGGUGGAGACGGGGUUGGAAAAAAGGAGGCGGAAGAAGAGACUCUAAGCAAACGAAUUAGAAAAAGACAGAUGUGUGAACAGCCCAGGCCACUAGGGAAGCUGCAAAGAGCUCGGGAUAUGUGGAGUGUGGGGUAGGGGUAGGGAAGUGAUGGGUAUUUGACUAGAGAAACAGGAUAAAACUCAUAUCAUGGGGGACUGCACGCCAUACACGGGAGUUAGGACAUUACUGUGCACAGAUACACGUGUUAGAAAGAUGACUCUAAUGGCAGUGGAGAGGGAGGGUCAGAGCGGGAAGCAGCCUCCAUGAGAGAAGCUUGGCAGGAAGGUGUGCAAGAAGAGAGUGCAGAGAAAAGGACAGGUUCAAAAGUGUUUGUGACCAUUUUGGCAAUAUGGGAGACUAGAGAUCCUGAAAUUCUUCUGCUGGAUAGCGUCUAAAAAUACUUAACAAAAUGCAAAUACACACUUGCUCUCUCUUACUUUUUUACAUGAUUAGAUGAGCUCUAAGAAGAAAAGGGGAGGGCCAGCCUGGUGGCCUAGUGGUUAAGUUCAUGCACUCCACUUUGGCAGCUGAGGGUUCCCCACUCUGGAUCCCGGGUGUGGACCUACACACUGCUCAUUAAGCCAUGCCCUGGAGGCAUCCCACAUAGAAAAUAGGGGAAGAUUGGCACAGAUGUUAGCUCAGGGACAAUCUUCCUCAAGCAAAAAGAGGAAGAUUGGCAACAGAUGUUGGCUCAGGACGAAUCCUUCUCACCCUUGCCCACCCACACACAAAAACAUAGAAGAAGAAGGAAAG